rnacentral:tRNA from 1 species
GCCCCUGUCGUCUAGCCUGGAUACCUCCAGUUUCCUGAAGAAUAAGGGGAAUUAAGCGUAAGGCCAAUAGGACGCGAGCUUGCGGAGCUUGAAGCCAGGGUUCAAAUAUUUUCCGAACAUCGGGAGGAAACAACCGAGAAGCGGAUCUUUGAAAGUCCCUGCGGGGGCG